AAAUUGAAGAGUUUGAUCAUGGCUCAGAUUGAACGCUGGCGGCAGGCCUAACACAUGCAAGUCGAGCGGAAACGAGUUAUCUGAACCUUCGGGGGACGAUAACGGCGUCGAGCGGCGGACGGGUGAGUAAUGCCUAGGAAAUUGCCCUGAUGUGGGGGAUAACCAUUGGAAACGAUGGCUAAUACCGCAUGAUGCCUACGGGCCAAAGAGGGGGACCUUCGGGCCUCUCGCGUCAGGAUAUGCCUAGGUGGGAUUAGCUAGUUGGUGAGGUAAGGGCUCACCAAGGCGACGAUCCCUAGCUGGUCUGAGAGGAUGAUCAGCCACACUGGAACUGAGACACGGUCCAGACUCCUACGGGAGGCAGCAGUGGGGAAUAUUGCACAAUGGGCGCAAGCCUGAUGCAGCCAUGCCGCGUGUGUGAAGAAGGCCUUCGGGUUGUAAAGCACUUUCAGUCGUGAGGAAGGUAGUGUAGUUAAUAGCUGCAUCGUUUGACGUUAGCGACAGAAGAAGCACCGGCUAACUCCGUGCCAGCAGCCGCGGUAAUACGGAGGGUGCGAGCGUUAAUCGGAAUUACUGGGCGUAAAGCGCAUGCAGGUGGUUUGUUAAGUCAGAUGUGAAAGCCCGGGGCUCAACCUCGGAAUUGCAUUUGAAACUGGCAGACUAGAGUACUGUAGAGGGGGGUAGAAUUUCAGGUGUAGCGGUGAAAUGCGUAGAGAUCUGAAGGAAUACCGGUGGCGAAGGCGGCCCCCUGGACAGAUACUGACACUCAGAUGCGAAAGCGUGGGGAGCAAACAGGAUUAGAUACCCUGGUAGUCCACGCCGUAAACGAUGUCUACUUGGAGGUUGUGGCCUUGAGCCGUGGCUUUCGGAGCUAACGCGUUAAGUAGACCGCCUGGGGAGUACGGUCGCAAGAUUAAAACUCAAAUGAAUUGACGGGGGCCCGCACAAGCGGUGGAGCAUGUGGUUUAAUUCGAUGCAACGCGAAGAACCUUACCUACUCUUGACAUCCAGAGAACUUUCCAGAGAUGGAUUGGUGCCUUCGGGAACUCUGAGACAGGUGCUGCAUGGCUGUCGUCAGCUCGUGUUGUGAAAUGUUGGG
rnacentral:rRNA from 1 species